rfam:Vitis vinifera, whole genome shotgun sequence of line PN40024, unoriented chromosome 4, chr4
AGGAGCCGUAUGAAGUGAAAAUCCCAUGUACAGUUCUAUAAUAGCGAUGGGAGCAGUGAUGUUAUCACCGACUAUGAC